rnacentral:tRNA from 1 species
GGCGAUGUGGUGGAAUUGGUAGACACGAGGGAUUCAAAAUCCCUUGCCUUCGGGCGUGACGGUUCGAGUCCGUCCAUCGCUACCA